rnacentral:rRNA from 1 species
GGGAUGGCAGGUAGCCUGUUGUGCACUUUUGUGCCUCCAGGUGUAAUAGCUGACUGCAUCGGUUCUGUGCGGUACGUCGGAGACGGCGGCUUGUUGUGUGUGCAGGCGUGCUGUUGUGCUGACGGCUUCGAGUCUGGUUGCCUUGUUGCUUGUGAACGCAGGCCGGGUGAUGGCUUGUUGCUGUUCAGUGCGCAGUUGCGUUUGUGACACUAUGACAGGGCCAACAGUCUGUGGUGUAGUGGUAGACUAUCCACCUGACCCGUCUUGAAACACGGACCAAGGAGAGUAACAUGUGCGCGAGUCAUUGGGCGUUACGAAACCCAAAGGCGCAGUGAAAGUAAAGGUUCGGCUUGUCCGAGCUGAGGUGAGAUCCUGUCGUUUCUCACGCGUGGUACUACCAAGCAUCGAGCGGCAGGCGCAUCACCGGCCCGUCCCAUGGCGUGGCAGCCUCGUGCCAGCCUAUCGCCGGGGCGGAGCAUGAGCGUACAUGUUGAGACCCGAAAGAUGGUGAACUAUGCUUGCGCAGGUUGAAGCCAGAGGAAACUCUGGUGGAGGACCGCAGCGAUUCUGACGUGCAAAUCGAUCGUCAAACGUGAGUAUAGGGGCGAAAGACUAAUCG